rnacentral:rRNA from 1 species
GGCCGCAGUAUAUUAACUGUGCAAAGGUAGCAUAAUCAUUAGUCUUUUAAUUGAAGGCUGGUAUGAAUGGUUGGACAAAAUAUUAACUGUUUCAUAAAAAUUUAUAAUAAAAUUUUAUUUUUUAGUUAAAAAGCUAAAAUUUAUUUAAAAGACGAUAAGACCCUAUAAAUCUUUAUAUUAUUUUUAUUAUUAUUUUUUAGAAAAUUUUAGUUAUAAUAAUUUUUUAAUAUUUUAUUGGGGUGAUAUUAAAAUUUAACAAACUUUUUAUUUUUUUUUCAUUAAUUUAUGAAUAAUUGAUCCGUUAUUAACGAUUAAAAAAAUAAGUUACUUUAGGGAUAACAGCGUAAUUUUUUUGGAGAGUUCAUAUUAAUAAAAAAGAUUGCGACCUCGAUGUUGGAUU